GGCCCCUUAACUCAGUCGGUAGAGUGUGAGAUUCCAAAGAGGUGCUGCACCACGGUGUUAUCUCAAAGUCAAGCGUUCAAGUCGCUUAGGGGUCA